UCUUAGCUCUCCUAUCACUCAGGAAGUUACAAGUUUUAGGAGCUCUGUGUCAGGAACCAGGGGCAGAGACCAAACAUAUAUUUCUUAUUAUGUCACAGUCUACUCCCUGGUCUCUGGCCAUGACCCCCUUACAGCAAACCAGUUAUAAAAGUUAAAAGAUACUAGCUGAAAAUGCAAUGCACUGUAGUGAGGAUGCGCAUCAGCUUUGAGUCCCAGCUUCCCCAUCUAAAAGCUGUAUGAUCUUGAGGACAUUUCUUUGUUCCUCUGAACCUCAAUUUCUUCCUCUGUGAAAUGAGAAAAAUAAUAGAACCUGUCUUCUAGGUCUGUUGUGAUGAUUAAGUGAGAUAAGGUACUGAAUGCACUUCGUGCAGCAGCUAGAACACGUAUUUUCAAGAUGAAGCUUCUGUUCCUGUCAUCUAUUCAGGAACCAAGGUUUCCCCAAGAAUAAAAGGAAGACUUUCUUAUUCAAACCACAGUCCAAGGAGUGGCAAACACGCCUUUAUCUGCCCUUCUAGAAGUGGGUCUCAAAGUCACAGCCGGACUCCAGAUGGUUGCUGUUUCACUGGAGAUCAUGCCAUUGCUUGCUCAAAAUUAAAUUAUCUUCUCAGAGAGCACCACAUUUGGGGCAUUUAUUUCUCCAGAAUGUGUAAACCAAUUAUUUCUAGUCUUUCUUAGAGAUUUUUUAUUUCCAUUAAUUCACAGAUCAUGUUUGAGAAUAUGUCCCUUCUCCACAGUUAUUCUCCACAUGCUCCCUCUCCACGAUUUAUUCAUUUCUGUCUUAAGUCUAAGGGUUAAGGAGUGAUAUGUGCUUAGUGUGAUAAGGAUAUGAAAGGGGAGGGCAGGAAGAUGAGCUUCUUACCCUUUCGGGGGUUGACUCCCUAUUUGGAAACCAAGAAGUGAGGAAUAAAGGAAGGAUAGCAUACAAUGUUAUUGGCUCUCAUUUUACAGGCAGCGUGCAUUAACAAAGAAGUCUAUACCUAAAAGACCUCAUGGAGACCCAGAUUUUCAACUUACUAGAAUUUUUGUGUGUUUUUUUUGACAUCCUGCUUUCCAUUGCCAAGCUUAAUAUAGAGUUCCCUUAGGGUCUUUCAGUUUUUAUACUAUUAUAGCUACGAGAUUGGUAACACUCCCUUCUUAAGAUUCUAACAAUACCAUUUACAAUAACUCACAAAAAUGAAGGACCUAGGAAUAAAUCUAACAAAAAGAGGAACAAGACUCCUGGAGAGAAAAUUAUAACAUUGUUUAGAGAUACUAACAAUGACAUUUUAAAAAAAGGAGAGCUAUGCCACAUUCAAGAAUCGGACAAGUCAGUAUUGUAACGUCAGCAUGUCCCCCAGCCCCCAGCCCCACAGAGAUCUGCAGACUUAAUGCAGGCCCGCUCCACAUCCAACAGUCUUCUCAGGAGAAUCUGACACAGUUGAUCACUCUUUCCUUCUUGAGACCCUUUCUUCUGUGUUUUUCUCUUCCCUCUUUGGCUAGUCCUUGUCAACAUCCUUUGCUGCCAACUCUUCUACACAACCUUUAAGGUUUGGUAUGUCCCAGGGUUCAGCCCUAGACCCUUUUCUGUUGUCUAUCUGUACUUUUUGCUCACAUUGUCUCUUCUAAUCCCAUGGCUCUAAAUACCACAUAUAUAUGAUGAUUCUCAUAUUUUUACCUCUACUUCAGGAUUCUUCCCUGAGCUCCACUCAUAUAUCCAUUGCUUUUCCAACAGUUACACUUAAAUGUCCAAUAGGAAUUUUAAUGUCUAAGACAGGACUUUUGCUUCUUGCUACUCCUCUCUCUCCUGCUCCACCAGCUUGCUCUUUCUCAGCUCAGUCAAUGAAAUUAGUUUAUUGCUCAGGCCCCAAAUCUAGGAGUGUUCCUGAUUCCUCUCUUUCCCACAUUCCCUACAUCUAAUCAAUCAGCAAGCUUUUUUGGCACUUCCUGCAAAAUAUAUUCCAAAGGUGACCAAUUCUCAACACUUCCACUGCCACCAUGUGUGUCCAAGCUACCAUUCUCUCACCUGGAUUCCUAACUGGAAUCCUUGCUUCCACUGUUAUCCCCUGACUGUCCCUGGGGUCUGUCUCCAACUAAGCCUGGUGGCAGUGAGGACUGUCAACCCCUUCCAGCCAGUUGCCAGCUAUGCCUCUGUUCCAUCUGGUUCUAAGGCUUGGAAUCACUGAGCAGGUCUUGCUAUCUUUGGCUCCUUGAGGGAAAAUUCCUAAAUCCAGAAGGCGCUGGGCUUUCUCCCAACUGAGUGCGGGAGCCAGAAUGGGGCCCAACUCUUCCUGUUUUACCCCAAACCGGUUGAUCCACUUUGGGGAUUCCUUCUCAGGCUGGGAACCCUCUGAGUGUUCUGAAAUAGGUCUGGAUUCUUGUAGAAGCCCCCGUGGUCCUUGAAUGAGUUUAGGGCUCUUCCUCCAGAACCUGGAAGGUGAGAAACGACCCUCAACUGACCCACCCUCCUCAUAACCAGUUGCCUGUUCUGCUCCAUAAAUGUCUACUCUGGGGUGUUGUGCUUAGGUCUGGAAGUCCUG
ensembl:lncRNA